UCCCUGGUAGCUCAGAUGGUAAAGCGUCUGCCCGCAAUGCAGGGGACCAGGGUUCGAUCCCCAGGUUGGGAA
rnacentral:tRNA from 1 species